GUGAAAGUUCUGGGUGCGAAAAUAAGUGCCAGUCAAAUGUACUUUUAUGACAGGACAAGCAGAACUCUCUUAGCAGCGGAGUAAGCUAAAAAAAAAUAAGCCCUUAUCUGUUUUCUGUGUUUAAAUUGCUCCAUCAGUAUGGUAUUUAAGUGUCAUGACUUUUAAUGUAUUUACCAUUACAGCACCCUUAGGAUACAUGGCUGUGCUAGUCUGCCCAUUUAAAAGAUGAAGAAAUGAAGCAUAAAGAAGACUCUUUUUUCAUGGACCAGAAGUCCCCUUUCUACAGCAAGAUACUUAGCCAUAUGUACCCUUCCUAACUUUGAUCUUCCCAAGAUUUGGAUGUGCUACCUCUCUGUUUGCAGUGACCUCACCACUCACUCCUGCCACUUGCUUGUGUAUUGCUCUUUGUCUGUAAGGGUAAAGUAUUUUACCAGGUGAGUCUUCCUUUGUGAUUUAACUGGACUGCUGGUAUUCACAGUUCCAGCAAGAAAAGAACACGUUAAAGCUAUUGUAA
rnacentral:lncRNA from 1 species